rnacentral:lncRNA from 1 species
UUUAGGGUUUUGAACUUUAACUAGGGAAUUUAUUUGUCCAUUGUCCCUACCAACCUAUUUAAUUAGUGAAAGUUGACUUUCAUGGUUGUCGACUUUCGCUCUAUAAAUACCUUGCUGAUCUACCAAAAUUUGUAGUGGCAAAUUAAGUUAUUUUCAACACUUAAUAAGCUUGUAUUCGAGUAAUUUGAUAUCUUUUUAUUCAGUUUGUAAACUUAGUAGUUUUGCAGUUGAAUUCAAUAAAAUGAGUUUUUUAGUGUGUUUUAUGACCUGUUAGGCCAAUCUGGGCCUAAGGAAGAAACUAACAUGUUGAUUAAGUGUGUAGGACAACAUUUUAGGCCUAAAAGUUAGUGGAUUUCCUUGGAUGUCACAACAUUUAGAGGGAAUGUCGUGACACUGAACUUCAGACCUAAAGGGAGAACAUUCAACCAUCAAUGUUGCGAUAACAACCACUCAAUGUCGCGACAACAAAUUUUGAACCUAGAAGGGGAGCAUUCAGCCUUCAAUGUCGCAACAACAACCACUCAAUGUCACAACAACAAAAUUUGAACCUAUAAAAGGAGCAUUUAGUCAUCGACGUUGCGGUAAC